UACAGAGGUCUCAAGCGUUGUUCGGAUUCAUUGGGCGUAAAGCGCGUGUAGGCGGCCCGGUAAGUCCGCUGUGAAAGUCGGGGGCUCAACCCUCGAAUGCCGGUGGAUACUGUCGGGCUAGAGUGCGGGAGAGGCGAGUGGAAUUCCUGGUGUAGCGGUGAAAUGCGCAGAUAUCAGGAGGAACACCAAUUGCGAAGGCAGCUCGCUGGAACGUAACUGACGCUGAGACGCGAAAGCGUGGGGAGCAAACAGG
rnacentral:rRNA from 1 species